AACUAAGUUUGUUAUUGGUAUGAGCUUUCAUGUGCAUGCACACUUGUGUAUAUGAAGAAGUGCGCAUGCACACGAAAGCUCAUACCAAUAACAAACUUAGUUGG
rnacentral:miRNA from 1 species